UACGUAGGGUGCGAGCGUUAAUCGGAAUUACUGGGCGUAAAGCGUGCGCAGGCGGUUCGUUGUGUCGGUGGUGAAAUCCCCGGGCUUAACCCCGGGUCUGCAUUCGAUACGGGCUAGCUAGAGUGUGGUAGGGGAGAUCGGAAUUCCUGGUGUAGCGGUGAAAUGCGCAGAUAUCAGGAGGAACACCGGUGGCGAAGGCGGGUCUCUGGGCCGAUACUGACGCUGAGGAGCGAAAGCGUGGGGAGCGAACAGG
rnacentral:rRNA from 1 species